CCGUUUGGCCGGCUGACGGAACAAUUUCACGGUGUGUGAUUUUUAUUGAUUUUUUCACAUUUUCAGUUCAAAGGAGCAGGGCUAGUGUCAAUUUGUGUUACGUGCCAGAGGAAUCGGUAACUUUUAAGCACAACGAUGUCAAAAGCUGAAACUAAAUGUACAGGGUCUCAAUCAUGUCAAGGUAUUUUUUGAUACUCCUGCUGUUGUUCCCAUGGCGACCUCACCCAUCCCACUUUUGUGGUAUGUGGCAGCAUUUCUCAAACGUUUACAGACAAAAGACAAAACAAUUCCCAAAACAAUAGACCGACUUCCUUCCACAUUCCAAAAAACACGCACGUUUAUUGACGGAUCGAAAUCGUUCACAGGUGGGAAUGUGAAGCGCGGCUGGCCGUGCGUCACUAAAUGCCCUGCGAUCAGCCAAGGUCGAGAGGUGAGCUGGGAUAGCUCGCCUGACACCCCUAUGAGGCCAAGUGCUCUUGAAAAUGAUGUUGGGGAAUUAUUCCCAGCAUACAAUUGGAUUUGGCUUGGAUACGCCCACUUAAACCCAGAUGACCAAAUAAGGAGGCGAGGAGGCUGGAAGAGGAAUGAACAGACACGGAACGCUCCUUGGUCAUCAUUUGCUGACAAAUGGCUGUCCCGGCUGGUCCACCCAUUUUACACAUACCACCAGCGAAGGGGGCGUGCGGUUGCCACGGUGAAGGCUAUUUUAUUAGCAUUGUGCAUUAUGGAGUUUGAUAUUUUUGUUCUCAUGCUAUAAUCUUCGUGGUUAAUAUGUUCAAUUUGCACUUCAAUGCAUUUUUUGAGGUUGUCCGUUAUUUGUCGGCAGUGUUUCCUAGUCCAGAAAGUUGUGGGAGUCCUUUUUGGGGGAGUUAAUUACAGAAAUUCUCAAUCUUCUUGCCUCAUGCUUUCAACUUUUUUUAUGUUUAGUGCACUGUGAGUGAGCACUUCCUAAAAAGCUGACACAUCCCUCAUGGAGGAGUGAGUUCCAUAAGUGGAUGUAUAAUUUCGUCAAAUAUGCAAAAAAUGUCCCGCAAUACACACAAUCACCGCUAUUACAUCAUGAAAAAUGCCAAACAAUUUUUUUGUGAAUGAAGAUUUUUUUUUUUUUACAAAAAAGAUCAAAAUUGUGAAAUAUUUGUCCCAACAGCAAUAACAGCAUUGUGAUGCAU